rfam:Dipodomys ordii contig_29616, whole genome shotgun sequence.
GGUGGCUGAGUGGUAGAGCACUUGCCUUGCAUGCAUGAGGCCCUGGGUUCGAUUCCUCAGUACCA